rnacentral:rRNA from 1 species
AUUAAACGCUGGCGGCAUGCCUUACACAUGCAAGUCGAACGGCAGCACGGACUUCGGUCUGGUGGCGAGUGGCGAACGGGUGAGUAAUGUAUCGGAACGUACCUUUCAGUGGGGGAUAACGUAGCGAAAGUUACGCUAAUACCGCAUAUUCUGUGAGCAGGAAAGCAGGGGAUCGCAAGACCUUGCGCUGAUUGAGCGGCCGAUAUCAGAUUAGCUAGUUGGUGAGGUAACGGCUUACCAAGGCGACGAUCUGUAGCGGGUCUGAGAGGAUGAUCCGCCACACUGGAACUGAGACACGGUCCAGACUCCUACGGGAGGCAGCAGUGGGGAAUUUUGGACAAUGGGCGCAAGCCUGAUCCAGCCAUGCCGCGUGAGUGAAGAAGGCCUU